rnacentral:rRNA from 1 species
UACGGGAGGUGCAAGCGUUGUUCGGAGUGACUGGGCGUAAAGCGCACGUAGGCGGGCUUGUAAGUCGGAUGUGAAAUCCCUAGGCUUAACCUAGGAACUGCAUCCGAAACUAUAAGUCUUGAAUAUCUCAGAGGUUGGUAGAAUUCCUGGUGUAGGAGUGAAAUCCGUAGAUAUCAGGAGGAAUACCGGAGGCGAAGGCGGCCGACUGGGAGAAUAUUGACGCUGAGGUGCGAAAGCGUGGGGAGCAAACAGG